GCUGAUGCGUUGUUGGGUAGGGGAGCGUUCUGUAAGCCUGCGAAGGUGACCUGUGAGGGUUGCUGGAGGUAUCAGAAGUGCGAAUGCUGACAUAAGUAACGAUAAAGCGGGUGAAAAGCCCGCUCGCCGGAAGACCAAGGGUUCCUGUCCAACGUUAAUCGGGGCAGGGUGAGUCGACCCCUAAGGCGAGGCCGAAAGGCGUAGUCGAUGGGAAACGGGUUAAUAUUCCCGUACUUGGUGUUACUGCGAAGGGGGGACGGAGAAGGCUAUGUUGGCCGGGCGACGGUUGUCCCGGUUUAAGCGUGUAGGUGUGUGUUCCAGGUAAAUCCGGUUCACUUUAACACUGAGGCGUGACGACGAGGCACUACGGUGCUGAAGCAACAAAUGCCCUGCUUCCAGGAAAAGCCUCUAAGCAUCAGGUAACAUCAAAUCGUACCCCAAACCGACACAGGUGGUCAGGUAGAGAAUACCAAGGCGCUUGAGAGAACUCGGGUGAAGGAACUAGGCAAAAUGGUGCCGUAACUUCGGGAGAAGGCACGCUGACAC
rnacentral:rRNA from 1 species